rfam:Stachybotrys chartarum IBT 40288 unplaced genomic scaffold scaffold753, whole genome shotgun sequence.
GCGCGAGUAGUAUAGUGGUUAGUAUGCGUGCUUCCCAAGUGCGGAAUCAGCACGAGAGCCGGGUUCGAUUCCCGGCUCGCGCA